rnacentral:lncRNA from 1 species
CCCAUUUCGGUUGUGUUCGUCAUUUUUCACCUUGACGAACAAAAGAAACCGAUUAUUUAUCAAAACCCACACACAAAUGAGCAAAAUUCCAGAAUCUGUCCGAGGCAGUACCAGAAUCUAGUACUUGAACUGUUGCUUUAACACAUUUCUUUCUCAUCUGUGGAGAGAGAGAGAGAGAGAGAGAGAGUAGGAAUUUUCAAGAAAUGCAGACGAUUCCAUUAGGUGGGACAUUAAUAUCAACGACAGUGAAUAGCACUAUAGCAGCAUCCUCUCUCUCAAUUUCAAGAAUCCGAAACCAUUUUCCAAGAUUUCCUCUCACCCCAGAUCAGGUAUCAAGAGCCCACUCUUUUACUAUAUACAAUAAAACAAGGAAUUAUGCAUAAUACACGUAUUUAUUAGAUUUAAGGAUGAGAACUCGGUUAUAUUAUGUGGUAUUUAUGUUUCAUACAUGUGUAUGGAUUUGGGCAUGUGUAAAAACAGAUUGGG